UUAACGUUUAUAGAAUAAACAAUAUCAGACUGAUGUCACAAAAAUGCAGAGUAUAUGUUGAUGCCUCCCGUAGGGCCACCGCAUGGGCAGAUGCAAGCAUGAAGCUCACUCCCCACGGAAGCAACGAGUACAAGUUCUCAGAGUGUGUUUAAGAAUAAGAGGGUUCUAUAUUCUGUAAUGAUCCUUCCGCAGGUUCACCUACGGAAA
rnacentral:misc_RNA from 1 species